AGUGAACGCUGGCGGUAGGCCUAACACAUGCAAGUCGAACGGCAGCACAGUAAGAGCUUGCUCUUAAGGGUGGCGAGUGGCGGACGGGUGAGGAAUACAUCGGCAUCUACUUUUUCGUGGGGGAUAACGUAGGGAAACUUACGAUAAUACCGCAUAUGACCUACGGGUGAAAGCAGGGGAUCUUCGGACCUUGCGCGACUGAAUGAGACGAUGUCGGAUUAGCUAGUUGGCUGGGUAAAGGCCCACCAAGGCAACGAUACGUAGCAGGUCUGAGAGGAUGAUCGGCCACACUGGAACUGAGACACGGUCCAGACUCCUACGGGAGGCAGCAGUGGGGAAUAUUGGACAAUGGGCGCAAGCCUGAUCCAGCCAUACCGCGUGGGUGAAGAAGGCCUUCGGAUUGUAAAACCCUUUUGUUGGGAAAGAAAAUCUGCAUGUUAAUACCCCGCUGUUCUGACGGUACCCAAUGAAUAAGCACCGGCUAACUUCGUG
rnacentral:rRNA from 1 species